GGAAAAGGUCAGUCAUAAUUUGGUUUGUGAUUGUUUAUGAAUUUGUUCAGAAGUUAUCUCACAAUGUGCCCAAGCCCAUUUUCAUUAAGAAUUCUUGUUCAGAAUUCAGUCUGCAUUAAGUAGAAUGGGUAUAUAUUUUACUUCUUCAUGUUCUUGCAAUAAGUAAUCUAAAGUAACGUUCCUAUUUCCCUCUUACAAAUAAUAGCUCAAUAUUAUAAUA